UACGAAGGGGGCUAGCGUUGCUCGGAAUCACUGGGCGUAAAGGGUGCGUAGGCGGGUCUUUAAGUCAGAGGUGAAAUCCUGGAGCUCAACUCCAGAACUGCCUUUGAUACUGAGGAUCUUGAGUUCGGGAGAGGUGAGUGGAACUGCGAGUGUAGAGGUGAAAUUCGUAGAUAUCGGGAGGAACACCCGUAGCGAAGGCGGCACUCUGGGCCGGAACUGACGCUGAGGAGCGAAAGCGUGGGGAGCAAACAGG
rnacentral:rRNA from 1 species